GUUUUAUAUGCAGAGAAAAGCAACAAAGGCCCAGCAUAGCAACAGCCCCCCGGCAACACUGCAGGCAUGCUAACAGUUCCCAGUUGCACCCCAUGGAGUGCCUUGGACCAUCUAUACAUGCCGCUCUUCCGCCCUCGCCUUCUCUGAACUUCCCCAAGGUAGCCUCUUUGCCACCGGGAUGCAAGGGGCACGCAGCACCUUUCCUCUUUUGGACCAUAGUAACUUCUGACACAAAGGCAAAGUCCAGAGAAACCAUGACUGAGCGAUGGCACUUUGCCGCCAGUGCCAGAAACACAGGGGCCUAGUGAAGGACUUCGGCAACAGAACCAGGGAAAAGGAGAGGCAGCCUCACCCUUAAAUGGAAAGGAUCGGGACGGUCUUGAGGUACAGUAGUCGGAUCCUGCGACCGAAAGGCCAGUAAAGCAGAGAUGGGCUGUGUGAAAGCUUUGAGUUUGACACGUGGCAUCUCUGCUUUGUGGUGGACCAAGGGAAGGCAAACUUGUUCAAUAAGGAGACAGUUAACGUGAGGAUUCUGGAGAACCGCUGUUCUGGCACACGUGCGACUCCUGGCAGCGGGACUCUUGUAGGUCUCAUUUGCUCAGGCUGCCAAGUUUGCGGUGGGGGUUGCAGUUUGGCUCCCUGGGUGUGAUUCUCAGUACCAUUUGGAUGGGUUUACCA
rnacentral:lncRNA from 1 species